rnacentral:rRNA from 1 species
GAUGAACGCUAGCGGCAGGCCUAAUACAUGCAAGCCGGACGGCAAGUUGAGUAGCAAUACUUGACCUAGAGUGGCGUAAGGGUGCGUAACACGUAUGCAAUCUGCCCACAGCCGGGGAGAUAGCCCUCCGAAAGGAGGAUUAAUAUCCCAUAGGAAGAUGAGAUGGCAUCAUUUUAUUUUUAAACUACGGGGCUGUGGAUGAGCAUGCGGUUGAUUAGCUAGUUGGCGGGGUAAAGGCCCACCAAGGCGAUGAUCAAUAGGGGACCUGAGAGGGUGAUCCCCCACACUGGCACUGAGAUACGGGCCAGACUCCUACGGGAGGCAGCAGUAGGGAAUAUUGGACAAUGGGUGUAAGCCUGAUCCAGCCAUGCCGCGUGCAGGAAGAAGGCCCUUCUGGGGUUGUAAACUGCUUUUGCCGGGGAUAAAGAUCCAUGCGUGGAGAAUUGAAGGUACCCGGUGAAUAAGCCACGGCUAAC